GGCUCAAUCCUGCAAAUCCAUGAAUCUCUGGGGUGGCCCCCUGGGUGUCACCAGCAGAGCUUUUGAUGUGCUACGGAAACAAUUUAACCAGACUUACUCAUUUGGAGUUCACUCAAGGAGAAAAGGAAUCUUGGUGAUAUAUUCUCUUGAUAUAAGGUUGUUUCUAGUUUUCAAAAAACUAGUGGACACCAGACAAACCUAGAGUUCUUGCAAGUUCAAAAUGUAAACUCCAAAUGUGACAUUUUCUGCAAUCUUUCCUGGCGACGUCAUGGCAUCAAUCAACAUGCAGAAUGCAAAUCUACACAUCCAAAUUGCUGCCACUCCAUGGAAAGUCCUUUGCUUUAGUGGCAGAUCAGAAACACUUCCAGCACAUGAUCUUUCCCCUCAAGCUGGCUAUGGCC